AAGUAAAGGCUCUCUAGGCUCUCCAUCUGGGAAGAGCUUGGGUUUGGGACACUGUUCCCACUGUGUCCUUCCUUCCCAGGACAGAAGCCUGUGUCAUGGCACUUAGGGAUGCUUGUGAAAGUGGUCCAGCUUUAGGGUUCAUACGAGGCGUGGCCUCAGGUACGCUGGCCGAAUGUAGGGUCCUGAUGAGCGCAAGCUGGGAUCUCUUUACAGUAGGAUUUCCUUGGCUGCUUCUUCCCAGGCACAGCUUGCACACAGAAGAUUCUGAGUGGUGCCAAGGUGAAUAAAGAUGCCUAAGUGCUCGUGGAAGCCAGCAGAGGGUGUAGGGUCUCCUGGAGCCACAUCUCUGGAGUUACAUGAAGUUGUGGACCUCUCAACAUGGGUUCUGGGAACUGAACCCAGGUCCUCUGGAAGGACAUCGAGUGCUCUUAACCACUGAGCCAUCUCUGCAGCCUAACCCCAUCCCUUGGAGGCUGAAGCAAAGCAAGUUCAAUGACCGUGCGACCUGGCUCUUGUUUGGGCCUAAGGAAAAGCCGACUGUAAGCCGGGAAGCAUCUCUGGCAAGAACAAGGAAGGAUUAAGCACGUCUGUGGUUGUGCGCAGGGAUCACAAGGUGCUCCUGCAGUGGGAAGAGCCACCACUAGGGGCGCUCCAAGUCUUGUAUUUUCUACCUUGAAAACUCGUUUCCCUGUGGCUGCCCUCCAAAUCCAACGGAGAUGAAUGGCUUUUAGUUUACCUAGCUGAUUUAAUAAACUUUAAAAAUAAA
rnacentral:lncRNA from 1 species